rnacentral:rRNA from 14 species
AGGUGGGGACGACGUCAAGUCAUCAUGGCCCUUACGGGGUGGGCUACAAACGUGCUACAAUGGUCGGUACAAAGGGCUGCAAGCCAGCAAUGGUAAGCGAAUCCCAAAAAACCAAUCGUAGUCCGGAUUGGGGUCUGCAACUCGACCCCAUGAAGUCGGAAUCGCUAGUAAUCGCGAAUCAGAAUGUCGCGGUGAAUACGUUCCCGGGUCUUGUACACACCGCCCGUCACACCAUGGAAGUUUGUUGCACCAGAAGUAGGUAGCUUAACCCUCGGGAGGGCGCUUACCACGGUGUGGUCAAUGACUGGGGUGAAGUCGAAACAAGGUAGCCGUACUGGAAGGUGCGGCUGGAU